UAGAAAAAGGCUGUUUCUCCAGUAUUGGUUUUCAGAGACUUACUGAAACAUUUGUCUCUGGCCAGUUGUCCAGGAUGGAGCGAAUAUGUCCUUUGUCCAAAAUGGAAAUAAACAGACCUCUAAAUAAAAAGGAAGCCAUAUUUGAUCUCAGUGCUGUUGUGGCAAGCUCCCCCUUCUUUAAUAGGCAGUUUGAAAGUCUCCAUAAGAUGAAGUUCGCAGCAAAGAAUGUUUGGCUGUGUCCUGUAAAUGUUACUCCACAUUGGAUUCUUGUGAUCUGUUUCCAAAAUAUUUGAUUUCUGAUGACUCAAUACUUUGACAGAUUUUCUCUUUUGUUAUGUGGACAUUAGUGAUGUGUCGUUCGCGAGUGAUUCGUUC